rnacentral:rRNA from 1 species
UACGAAGGGAGCUAGCGUUGUUCGGAAUCACUGGGCGUAAAGCGCACGUAGGCGGAUUUGUAAGUCAGGGGUGAAAGCCCGGGGCUCAACUCCGGAACUGCCUUUAAGACUGCAUCGCUUGAAUCCGGGAGAGGUGAGUGGAAUUCCGAGUGUAGAGGUGAAAUUCGUAGAUAUUCGGAAGAACACCAGUGGCGAAGGCGGCUCACUGGACCGGUAUUGACGCUGAGGUGCGAAAGCGUGGGGAGCAAACAGG